UCCCACAAUGACACUUCUCAUACUGCUUAUAGCUAAUCCAGCGUCAAUAGACCAUCCCCCACCUCAGAUUUUUCGUAUGCAUGGAAACAAACCCGGCAACCGACAGCAAAAUAAGGUAAAAUACAUGGGGCGAUCAACUGGAUCGGUGAAAAGAAGGCAUACAUUUACAAAUUAUGUAUGAUUGCACCAGUGUCUGAAUCCAUAUAUUCGUUGUUUGCAAUGCAGGCUGCUAGAAGAGAAGAAAUAGACCAAAGAAUUGCUCCCAGAUAAAUAAGCCACCGCCCUUAUCCAGGUAUAAAAGUUAAUAAAGGCCAUGGGACUGCAAGAACUAGCCAUCCAGAGAACCUGUAUUGAAGAAGUCAUUUUCUCUGCAAUGGCCCAGCCGCAACACAAAUGUAGGAUAUGAACCACCCUUCCAGCAGCUCUACAACAGAGUGAACAGACCAUUGGGCUACUCGCUACUGUAAUAUUGAGUACCUCAAAGAAGGUAUUAUUAAGUGGCAUGUAUAAUAGCAGAUCCCUCUCUUAGUUUUACCAUCACAUCUGCUAGACUAAGACAUCAUUCUCUCCUCCAACGAUAGAAGUGACUACUGAUGUCUUAGAAAGUGGCAAAGCUAUACAUAUUACCAUCUUACUUUACUGAAUCAGGUUUUGGCUAUCAAGAGUAUGUUCUGCUUUGGGCAACUAUCUAUGGUUUGUCGUGCUCUGUUUGUGUAGGCCAAGUCGAUGAACCAUGUAAUGAAAUUAUUAU